GAAAGCAGUUUGAGUUUCUAUAGCGACAAGCAUAACAACACCCCACAUUUUUGGAAGCUUGCAGUGAUUUAAAGUCUGAAGUUCACCAGCCUGUAGCUCUGAAGAUCACAACACGACAACGGGAAGGAAUACCUGAGAGGUUUGACUUUAACUCCUUAGGCUCUGUCAAACCGUGAUGCUCACCGUGGAGACGCUGCUAUGACCUCACCUUCCUGCGGGGGGUGCUGACAGCCCUUCUUUUUAUCCCCCUAUCAGCGGCGGGGCGCAUGCAAACCUUCUGCUGCCACUCACCUCUUCCUCUGCCGCUCCGGUUCCAUCUCGUUCCACGUCUCUCAUCUGUGGAAUGAGGAAAAACAAACAAGGCUCCCUGCAGGCUGGCGCAGCCCCUCUCGGCCGCUGCAUGCUCCUGAUUUUCCAAAGAAAUCAUUUUAUUUGUCAAAAAGUGAAAGGCAACCACCUUUUAAACC